rnacentral:rRNA from 1 species
CUACGGGGAGGCAGCAGUAGGGAAUCUUCGGCAAUGGGGGCAACCCUGACCGAGCACGCCGCGUGAGUGAAGAAGGUUUUCGGAUCGUAAAGCUCUGUUGUAAGUCAAGAACGGGUGUGAGAGUGGAAAAUUCACACUGUGACGGUAGCUUACCAGAAAGGGACGGCUAACUACGUGCCAGCAGCCGCGGUAAUACGUAGGUCCCGAGCGUUGUCCGGAUUUAUUGGGCGUAAAGCGAGCGCAGGCGGUUUGAUAAGUCUGAAGUUAAAGGCUGUGGCUCAACCAUAGUUCGCUUUGGAAACUGUCAAACUUGAGUGCAGAAGGGGAGAGUGGAAUUCCAUGUGUAGCGGUGAAAUGCGUAGAUAUAUGGAGGAACACCGGUGGCGAAAGCGGCUCUCUGGUCUGUAACUGACGCUGAGGCUCGAAAGCGUGGGGAGCGAACAGGAUUAGAUACCCUGGGGUAG